rnacentral:rRNA from 1 species
UACGAAGGGGGCAAGCGUUACUCGGAAUUACUGGGCGUAAAGCGUGCGCAGGCGGUUUUGUAAGUCUGUCGUGAAAUCCCCGGGCUCAACCUGGGAAUUGCGAUGGAGACUGCAAGGCUAGAAUCUGGCAGAGGGGGGUAGAAUUCCACGUGUAGCAGUGAAAUGCGUAGAGAUGUGGAGGAACACCGAUGGCGAAGGCAGCCCCCUGGGUCAAGAUUGACGCUCAUGCACGAAAGCGUGGGGAGCAA